rfam:Gregarina niphandrodes unplaced genomic scaffold scaffold00232, whole genome shotgun sequence.
GGCAAGAUGGCCGAGUGGUCUAAGGCGCCGUGUUAAAGCCUCGGUCUGAAAAGGCGUAGGUUCGAAUCCCACUAUGAUCA